GGGCGGUUAACUCAGCUGGUACGAGUACCUGGUUUACACCCAGGCUGUCGGGGGUUCGAUCCCCUCACCGCCCA
rnacentral:tRNA from 1 species